AUUGAACGCUGGCGGCAUGCUUUACACUUGCAAGUCGAACGGUAACAGCACUUCGGUGGCUGACGAGUGGCGAACGGGUGAGUAAUACAUCGGAACGUGCCUAGUAGUGGGGGAUAACUACUCGAAAGAGUAGCUAAUACCGCAUGAGAUCUAAGGAUGAAAGCAGGGGACCUUCGGGCCUUGCGCUACUAGAGCGGCUGAUGGCAGAUUAGGUAGUUGGUGGGAUAAAAGCUUACCAAGCCGACGAUCUGUAGCUGGUCUGAGAGGACGACCAGCCACACUGGGACUGAGACACGGCCCAGACUCCUACGGGAGGCAGCAGUGGGGAAUUUUGGACAAUGGGCGCAAGCCUGAUCCAGCAAUGCCGCGUGCAGGAUGAAGGCCUUCGGGUUGUAAACUGCUUUUGUACGGAACGAAAAGCCCUCUUCUAAUACAGGAGGGUCAUGACGGUACCGUAAGAAUAAGCACCGGCUAACUACGUG
rnacentral:rRNA from 1 species